CCAAGUCACCAACACCAUCAAUCUAAGAUUUCAAAUUUAAGACCAUAUGUGAAUAUUUAACUUAAAUUUAGUAUAAUUUAAGUGUCUAAAUUUAUUCCAAUUUAUGUAACUACAUUUGAGAGGGUUAAUGAUAUUGAAAUGCAAUUAAAAUCAGAAGAAAAACAAAAACAAAAUUGAAAGAAGACGAAUUGACAUGUCUGGCUUUUCGAACAUGUGAAAAACUAGCAGUGGAGAGAUUGGCCAAGUGUCAAUCUUGAUGGAACAUCCACCCACUGGCCACC
rnacentral:lncRNA from 1 species